ensembl:lncRNA
CACAAAAGCUUGAGCUGUUUCAUUUUCUGAAUAAAUGAGUUCUCAGUCACUGUGAUCAAAGUUCAGUGUUCUUCAUCUGAGGUCUCCAAUCCCCUCUGCCUGGAGCCUGGCCACCAGCCCAGCCAGGGUGCUCCUUGUUCCAGUGAAAAUCUGCAAUCUCACAUAGAUCUCACAAUACUUGUACAGCAGGUGGUGUCCAUAUUCACUCCUCAUAAUCUUCUUGUGUCUGUAGAGCACUCUUCAGCCUGACCUCCUAAAUCCAUGGAGCCAGCAGAGCCACCUGCCUGAGUCACAUUGCCACAGAUGUGGAGCAGCACUUCCUCCAGCCUCAGCGGUCACAUCAGUGUGUUCAGACUGAGGUGUGUUUCUUCUGGAGCUGGCUUCUGUAUGUGACAGUCCUCC